rnacentral:rRNA from 1 species
ACACAUGCAAGUCGAGGGGCAGCGGGGAGUAGCAAUACUCCGCCGGCGACCGGCGCACGGGUGCGUAACGCGUAUGCAACCUACCUUUAACAGGGGCAUAACACUGAGAAAUUGGUACUAAUUCCCCAUAACAUUCGAGAAGGCAUCUUCUUGGGUUAAAAACUCCGGUGGUUAAAGAUGGGCAUGCGUUGUAUUAGCUAGUUGGUGAGGUAACGGCUCACCAAGGCAACGAUACAUAGGGGGACUGAGAGGUUAACCCCCCACAUUGGUACUGAGACACGGACCAAACUCCUACGGGGGGCAGCAGUGAGGAAUAUUGGUCAAUGGACGCAAGUCUGAACCAGCCAUGCCGCGUGCAGGAAGACAGCUCUAUGAGUUGUAAACUGCUUUUGUACUAGGGUAAACGCUCCUACGUGUAGGAGUCUGAAAGUAUAGUACGAAUAAGGAUCGGCUAACUCCGUGCCAGCAGCCGCGGUAAUACGGAGGAUCCAAGCGUUAUCCGGAUUUAUUGGGUUUAAAGGGUGCGUAGGCGGUUUGAUAAGUUAGAGGUGAAAUACCGGGGCUCAACUCCGGAACUGCCUCUAAUACUGUUGAACUAGAGAGUAGUUGCGGUAGGCGGAAUGUAUGGUGUAGCGGUGAAAUGCUUAGAGAUCAUACAGAACACCGAUUGCGAAGGCAGCUUACCAAACUAUAUCUGACGUUGAGGCACGAAAGCGUGGGGAGCAAACAGG